CCUGUAGGUUGGUGUCAACAUGGUUCAAAGUGUUUCUCUCUCUCCCUCUCCCUCUUGUGUGAGACAAAGUCUCAUUAUAUAACUCUGGCUGCCUUGGAGUUCUGGAGUUUACCAUGGAGAUCAGGCUGGCCAUGAUGUCACAGAAGCUCACUGACUUCUGCCUCCUAAGUGCUAGGAUAAACAUAUGCAUCACCACAUACAGCUCACAACAUGUAGCUGGGAAACAAAAAGAUCUCAAAGAUUUCAAAUAAGAGAUUAUAGAUUUAUGUACAUACUGGUUGAAAGUAUAUACUAAAAUAUCUGAAAACAAAGACAGAAAACAGAUUCAUCAACUUCUGCCACUGUGGUCAACUCUGGCUCGCUCUUGUAGAGUCUAUAAUCUGGACCCUUGAAUGGAAGACACACGAUUGCAACAACAAAUGCUGCCGUCACUGUACCCUGUCCCUCAGCUGGGCCCGAGGCUCAGCACUAGAAGCCUUGUCUGGCACCAGAAAGGUCCUUGGCUCAACUGAAAAUAAGUCUGCCUUUAAAGGUGCAAACCGAAAGCCCCAGCUGGCUCCCUCUCACAUGACGCACUCACACCACGUGGUACUGAGUACGAAGAAUAAUUCCAAGACACAGCCAUGCAAAGCUGACCCACCUGUUUCUGAAGAGCCUCUUUGCUGUUUGUGUUUGCUCAACCCCUCCAUGACAUCUUGAAUUCUCCAAAGUUCUUUUUGAAUCUGUGCCCGUUGAAUUCCUGCCGACUCACUCUAUCAGUAAAGAUGGACAGAUCACUGUG